rnacentral:rRNA from 1 species
AUUGAACGCUGGCGGCAUGCCUUACACAUGCAAGUCGAACGGUAACAGGUCUUCGGAUGCUGACGAGUGGCGAACGGGUGAGUAAUACAUCGGAACGUGCCUAGUAGUGGGGGAUAACUACUCGAAAGAGUGGCUAAUACCGCAUGAGAUCUACGGAUGAAAGCAGGGGAUCGCAAGACCUUGUGCUACUAGAGCGGCCGAUGGCAGAUUAGGUAGUUGGUGGGAUAAAAGCUUACCAAGCCGACGAUCUGUAGCUGGUCUGAGAGGACGAUCAGCCACACUGGGACUGGGAAACGGCCCAGACUCCUACGGGAGGUAGCAGUGGGGAAUUUUGGACAAUGGGCGCAAGCCUGAUCCAGCAAUGCCGCGUGCAGGAUGAAGGCCUUCGGGUUGUAAACUGCUUUUGUACGGAACGAAAAGCCCCGGGUUAAUACCCUGGGGUCAUGACGGUACCGUAAGAAUAAGCACCGGCUAACUACGUGCCAGCAGCCGCCGUAA